rnacentral:lncRNA from 1 species
ACCCAAGAGUGUGUGAGCCAAAGAUAGUCUCCCAGUCCCAAUAUGCCAGACACCAUAGUUUGGUCAGAGCCGGCUCUGGCAUUUUCAGGCUUGCUGAAGGACAGGAGCCAAGCAAGACCUCUUCUCAACGCCAGGCUUCCAGCAAUGGUUCUUCAAACUCCUACAUCUUUUCCUUAAAUCCUGGGUGUCCCGGUGCUGUUUCAGUAACAAGGCAGAUACACAAGAGCCCCUCACUUCUUUACAUCUUGAGGACCAAGCCAGAGAGAUGGCUCAGUGGUUAAGAGCACUGUCUGCUCCUCCAGAGGCCCUGAGGUCUGUUCCCACAAAGCCACUCACAACCAUCGAUAACCCCAGUUCCAGGCAGUCUGAUACCCCUUCUGACCUCUGUGGACAGUAGGCACACACGUGGUACAUAAACCAUAUACCCAUACACAUUAAAUAAUUUUAAACUAUUUUU